AGCGUAGGCGGCCGAUUAAGUUGGAUGUGAAAUCCCCGGGCUUAACUUGGGUGGUGCAUCCAAUACUGGUUGGCUAGAGUGCAGGAGAGGAAAGCGGAAUUCCUGGUGUAGCGGUGAAAUGCAUAGAUAUCAGGAGGAACAUCGGUGGCGAAGGCGGCUUUCUGGACUGACACUGACGCUGAGGCUCGAAAGCGUGGGGAGCAAACA
rnacentral:rRNA from 1 species